CACAGCCUGGCCAGGGCAGCUCCAGGUGUAGACUGGCCAACUGAGGCCUCGUAGCUCUGCCCUUCCCAU
rnacentral:miRNA from 1 species